UAAAAGUAAACUGUUGCAAGUUCAAGGGAAGGAGGGUGAGAUUCCCUCGCUGUACCCGCAGCCGUGUUAAGGUAAGCGCUGAGCAUAAAGUCACUGCCAAAUGGUGGGAAGGCGCCUGGCGCAAAAUACCUUUUAGCCGGAAGACCUACUUGCGUAACAAAACUAUC
rnacentral:ncRNA from 1 species